rnacentral:rRNA from 1 species
GGAUCAAUACGUCGGUCGUGCUUUCGGGUACGUACUGGCGUCAUUGGUUUCUCCUUUCUGACGAACCAUGAUGUCAUUAAUUUGGUGUUAUGGGGAGUUAGGACUGUUACUUUGAAAAAAUUUUAAGAGUGUUUAAAGCAGGCAUUAGCUUGAAUACAUUAGCAUGGAAUAAUGAAAUAGGACGUUCGAUCCUAUUUUGUUGGUUUCUAGGAUUGACGUAAU